rnacentral:rRNA from 1 species
UACGAAGGGGGCUAGCGUUGCUCGGAAUCACUGGGCGUAAAGGGCGCGUAGGCGGCCGUUUAAGUCGGGGGUGAAAGCCUGUGGCUCAACCACAGAAUUGCCUUCGAUACUGGACGGCUUGAGUCCGGAAGAGGUCAGUGGAACUGCGAGUGUAGAGGUGAAAUUCGUAGAUAUUCGCAAGAACACCAGUGGCGAAGGCGGCUGACUGGUCCGGAACUGACGCUGGGGCGCGAAAGCCAGGGGAGCAAACGGG